CUCCUCUCAGGGUCGCAGCUGGAGAGUUUCCAGUGCUCUACCAGUCUGGGCUAUGGGAGGGAGAGUAAAGCAGAGGCAUGCCCAUUCCAUUUCUAGCAUAGACAGUGGCUAGCGAGUGGAAGGCAAUCAGCUACAAGG